CGGGAUGACUCUGAAGUCAUCUCACAGAGUUCCCUUCAGUUCUUAACAUACACUCUUAAGGCUGAUACACUUACCCCAACCUGCUAUUUAUAGCUUCACAGUCAUCCAACAAAGUAAAAAAAAAAAUCAUCUGGGCAAAAAGGGAGACGCAGGUAAGGGAGAAAGAGAGAGAGAGUGACAUUUUAACACAUUACUCACAUUUUAAAAUUUUUAUUUACAUUUCCCCUUCCCUCCCUUUCUCAGAUUACGUGCCCAUUACAGCAGUGGAAAGGGGUGAUCACAGCACCUCUUGCAAAUUCCAGUUUACAGGUAAAUUGGUCAAUGGAAAAAUAUGGGCCAACAAAACAGAUCUCAGCUCCCCAUAAGCUAUUUCUCUGUUCUUAGUCUAUCUCUUCCCCCUUUCUGUUAUGUUAGCUACCUUUAUACAGAGAGGGAUCAUCAAGACGGUGUGGGCUCGCUGGCCAAAUCAACACGGUGAUUGCACCAGUAGCCUGCGAAGAACCAUCAAGAAUGCUUUCCAUCAUUCUAACCAUUGGUUCAACAUCACUGAGUAACGAGACCUAACGUGAGGGUGAAGACAAGCUGCCACCCCACCUGAGUCAGGGGUAUGUCCCACACUCCCUUGGAAGGCCUGGGCCAAGCAACCAAGCUUUGCCAAAGGGACUUGGGAACUGUGUUGAAAAAAGCAGACUCUGAGUUGGCUCAGGGCUCUUCGUGCACAGAAGAGUCUACUCGCCCCUGCAGAUGGCUGUGAGGCAGCACACGGAGUGCGUCAGGGCUCUGCUCUUCCUGUCACCUUUCAUUCAGCCUCCCCACAGCUGCUCUGGAAGAGCAGAGCGGGGGUGUUCCUUCACUGGAAACACAGUAACCGCAGUUUAAAAGCCACUGCAUUCUCUAGGGUCAGUUUAUUAGAACUCGUCAUACCACAAAGAAGCAGUUUAAGGCCAUUUACCAUGUGUACUAUGUAGUAAACCAGAACUUGCCCAAGGCUCCCCACACCAAGCCACUCCCAAAGGAGGCCUGGGAAUGUGAUACCUCCAGACUCACCAGAGCAGACCAGAAUAAACAUUUUCAGUAAGGGCUCAAGCCAGCCCCUCCGGUCUGCUCCCUAGGAAAGACUCAAUCUAUAGCAAAAGUGCUUAGAAAACACAAGUCACUGGAAACGACAGAAAGGGCAACAGCAUUUUCUAUACAAUCAAAAGCAAAGGGAUCACUGGCUAGGCCUAGUGUUUCUUCUGUAUGGUAAGGCAGACGCCAGCCUUCUCAUUUGGCUCUCUGGGCACGUGGCGACUGGCCUGGUGCCUAAACGCGACAUACCAUGUGGAUAAAGCUGAAGAGGGAACGGCCCUGCUUUCCUCACCAGGGAAGGUAUUCUGAAUAGCUGGGUAACCGACCCCAAUGCCCGUGGGCACUGGGCUUCCGUGUGGCGCGGCAGCAGCACGUCUCUAGGUCCUGGGGCUGCAUCCAAGCACCAGCGGCUCAGGAGCCAGGAAGAACCCUCUGAGUUCCCUGACUCCUCUUCGCAAGGCCUUUGGGCUCCGCUGCUUCCACCCGUGUGAAAUGCUCAACAGUUCUUGAUCUGCAGAAAGGCAGACAGUUACAAGGAAACCCACUGCUCGCCUCCCUCUUCCAACCACACAGGUUACCGGGAGAGAAACAGGAAGGCAGUGGGAGAUGGCAUCCCUUUUUUCCCGUUCCCUGAGAAGCCAAGAAAUCCCUCCACGUAAGCCAUUCUCCCCCCUGGUUUCU
rnacentral:lncRNA from 1 species